AACGAACGCUGGCGGCAGGCUUAACACAUGCAAGUCGAACGGGUGUAGCAAUACAUCAGUGGCAGACGGGUGAGUAACACGUGGGAACCUUCCUAGGGGUACGGAACAACUCAGGGAAACUUGAGCUAAUACCGUAUACGUCCGUGAGGAGAAAGAUUUAUCGCCCUUAGACGGGCCCGCGUCGGAUUAGCUAGUUGGUGGGGUAACGGCCUACCAAGGCGGCGAUCCGUAGCUGAUCUUAGAGGAUGAUCAGCCACACUGGGACUGAGACACGGCCCAGACUCCUACGGGAGGCAGCAGUGGGGAAUCUUGGACAAUGGGCGCAAGCCUGAUCCAGCCAUGCCGCGUGAGUGAAGAAGGUCUUCGGAUUGUAAAGCUCUUUUGCCAGGGACGAUGAUGACGGUACCUGGAGAAUAAGCCCCGGCAAACUUCGUGCCAGCAGCCGCAGUAACAC
rnacentral:rRNA from 1 species